ACAUCUAAGAUGUACAGAUGUAUGGAUGACAUUUGAUUAAUAUAUAUAUAUAUAAAUCAAAUGUCAUCCAUACAUCUGUACAUCUUAGAUGU
rnacentral:miRNA from 1 species